CCCCUACGGGAGGCAGCAGUGGGGGAUAUUGGACAAUGGGGGAAACCCUGAUCCAGCGAUGCCGCGUGAGGGAAGAAGGUUUUCGGAUUGUAAACCUCUGUGGAGGGGGACGAUAAUGACGGUACCCCUUUAGGAAGCCACGGCUAACUACGUGCCAGCAGCCGCGGUAAUACGUAGGUGGCGAGCGUUGUCCGGAUUUACUGGGUGUAAAGGGAGCGCAGACGGCAGUGCAAGUCUGGAGUGAAAGCCCGGGGCCCAACCCCGGAACUGCUCUGGAAACUGUGCGGCUAGAGUACUGGAGGGGG
rnacentral:rRNA from 1 species